ensembl:lncRNA
GUCAGAAAUCACCAGUGGGUUGCGAGGGUGAUUGAUUGUGUUGCAGCAGACAAUUGGCCAAGCAAAACAGCUUGAGCUGAGGGCAAAUUCGGGCUUCACCUCUGGCACCACGUGUGUUCCCACGGCCAAGCAAGNNNNNNNNNNNNNNNNNNNNUCCUGCUGACGGUUUGAGCGCUUCUUGCACCAGUAUGUUUCCAUGCCAGAAGGAGCAGCAGCCCCAUUUGGUGAGCAGCCCAGUUUUUUCCGGCAGCAGAAGGUACUGCAACUCAAGGUAUACGUAGUUUUCUUUUUUAAAGUUAUGUAAUUAUCAGUGUGAGCUGAUAUCCUUAAAUUACAGUAGCUCCUGUGUUAUUGAUAAGACAAGCAAACUGGGUCAGAAGUGUUAAAUGAUACGUACAAGACAUCUCUCUGAUGCCUAGCGCUGGACUCCUACCCACAUUCCUCUCUCUUUGGGCACUUCUGAAACAAAAGGAGAAACUUGGGGGUCACAGAACUCUUAAGAAAUCCCCCAACCAUUAACAUACAGUCCGAUGGCAGCUCACCACAGCACAAGUCUGAUAUGGUGUCUUGAGCCUGCAUUUAUGCGUUUUGCCUUAAUAACAAUAUUUCGGAAAAGCUUAUAGCUAAUGCCUCAAAAAAAGCCAAGAAAACACGCAGCUUUCUACAUGGCAGGAGCAGUGCUACAUCCUAAGUAGCGCGUUGUAUUUUUCCUAAUGCAAAGCUCUUUUCCAGGCAGUGAAUUGUAAGGAGAAACUGAUCAGUGUAAUAUUGUGCCAUUUAUCCAGGGCAUCAAACACGCGCUGCUCUUUAUUUAAGCCGCACUCGAGUCGAAGAGGCACCCCGGUGAGUGGAAUUACACAGCCCUCACGUCUCACUUGAUAGGUUUUGACACAGACUGUCACCACAUCUGCCUACUGAGCUAUCAUGACUGCACGUGCAAAUUGAAUGAGGAUAGGACAUAGUCCCUUGUCUGCAUCUGCUAACACUCACAGGAGUCUGGGAGGACCUGUUUCAGAGAGGGGCCGAAGACCUGCACUACGCUGUCGUCUAACGUGGACAACAGAGCAGAAGUUUCUAAUUAUAGGUGUUUCUAUUCUUCGUCAAAGUCAACAAUUUCUUCUUGUCUGUUUAAACCCUCCUGAAACCGCCUGAAACACGCUGGGCAACAUCUUCCUGGGCUCUGGCCUUCCCUGAGAAUCCAGACUGAUGUUUCUAACCUGUGUUUGCAAAUCUGCGUGCCACAGCCUUCUACACUGGAAAGGUGGAAAAUUGUGAAUGUGAAACUGUGAAAAAAAAAAAUCUCACUUCCAUGCUGUAGGCUGACGGUUUUUCAAAAGAGCUUCACUUUUCUCUACUCUGUUCUUCCAUCUCAGAUUAUAUUUAGAAGAACUUAAUAUUAGAAAUUGUACUAUAAAAUGAAUGAAAAGAGUUGAGAGCAUGAAUUAUGGACACAAGAUUUAUGCUUGACAACCCGAAGUUUGCCUUCUAAGUAUUCGGGUACACAGAUACAACUAUCCUGAUUUUUCAUAGAGGUGAAGUAAUUUGAGGCCUUCUUUUAUGUCAGUGGAAUUUGAGGCUCAUGGCUCUUCUGAAAUAACCUAGCCAGGGCAGGGCACAGGGCAAGUUAUUUGUAUGUGAACUUUUCUAUUAACGAUAUAUCAUACAUGUGAUUGGAGUAGGGUUGAUGCAAUUCAGGUGAAACUGUGCUGUGUAUACUACUGGCGGAAUGUGAAUCUCUUCAGAGGAGUAUAAAGUAGCCCACAGCCUCAUGGCGCAAGGGGUGGAGGACUUCCAGAGAGGCGUUUCUGAUCAGCAGGACAUCAUUGAUUCUUGGACCACACUAUACCCCAUCACUCCAGGACACAGAGAAUCAUUUUUCUACCUUCUGUUGGACUGCAAGGCUUCCGGUCUGAGGUAAGGAAUCUGAUAGUGCUAAUAAUACUGUGAAAUAAACAAAGCGGCUUUGACUCCCUCA